AUACGGAGGGGGCUAGCGUUGUUCGGAAUUACUGGGCGUAAAGCGCGCGUAGGCGGGUUGGCAAGUUGAAGGUGAAAUCCCAGGGCUCAACCCUGGAACUGCCUCCAAAACUGCCAGUCUUGAGUUCGGAAGAGGUGAGUGGAAUUCCUAGUGUAGAGGUGAAAUUCGUAGAUAUUAGGAAGAACACCAGUGGCGAAGGCGACUCACUGGUCCGAUACUGACGCUGAGGUGCGAAAGCGUGGGGAGCAAACAGGAUUAGAUACCCGGGUAGUCC
rnacentral:rRNA from 1 species